UACCUAGAGCUAAUGCACUGAAGAAAAUGUC
rnacentral:piRNA from 1 species